rnacentral:rRNA from 1 species
AACGAACGCUGGCGGCGCGCCUAAUACAUGCAAGUCGAGCGAGAAGACGUAGCAAUACGUUUGUAAAGCGGCGAACGGGUGAGGAAUACACUGGGUAACCUACCCUCGAGUGGGGAAUAACUAGCCGAAAGGUUAGCUAAUACCGCGUACGCUCCUUGGACUUCGGUUCAGGGAGGAAAGCGAUACCGUGGGUAUCGCGCUCUUGGAUGGGCUCAUGUCCUAUCAGCUUGUUGGNGAGGUAACGGCUCACCAAGGCUUCGACGGGUAGCUGGUCUGAGAGGACGAUCAGCUACACUGGCACUGGCGACACGGGCCAGGACUCCUACGGGAGGCAGCAGUAAGGAAUAUUGCGCAAUGGG